CUCGUCUCGGCCUCCCAAAGUGCUGGGAUUACAGGCUUGAGCCACCGCGCCCAGCCGCUAAUGCCCAUUUUACAGGUAAGGAAAUUGUUACUGCUAGGAUCCAAGUUCAGGCCUUUCCCACUCCAGAACACAGCUCCUAACUGUUAAGCUACACUGCCUCACGAGAAGGCUAAAGUGGGAAGAGAGCCCAAAAACAUCUAGUCCAGCCCCCCAUGUAGAUCAGGACCUGAGGUCCAGAAAGGCUUGUGCUUGUGGCAAAGCUGUGCUGCAGGAGAAGGACUAAACCAGAAGUGGGGGCCUAGGCCUUCUUUUGUCCGUAACUGGUGGCAUGGUCUUGCCAGCUUCUCUGGACUUAAGUUCCCUUAUUUAUAUAAAGAAAGGGCUUGGCCUGAUUUUAUGCUGAGAACAGUUUUGUGCUGUUAUGGGCGGUACUGAAGGAGUUCACAGUCCGAGAUUUUAGUCGUAACCCAGGAUUCCUCCCAGCACACCACACUCCCUCCCUACCCAAGCGCCAUCUCCUUGUGCAGCCAGCGUUUUAAAGUUUAAUUCUGAAGUUCAUUUGUAUUUUCCAUUGUCAGUUUCUGUUUUCCGCCCAUUUCCAAAAACAGGCAAGUGGUUUGUAAACACUUUUUGUAAAUUCAUCUCCUCAGUCAUUGUAGUUAGGGAUUUGGAAAGCUCUGGGCAAUUAAUAAUCCUCAGUCAGUAGUGUCUUUACUCUCUUUUAAAGGCAUUUAGGUCUGGAGGCAUCCUGGAGGGAAUUUUGCUGUGGAAUUCUAUGGACACAGCUGUGUGCCAGGCAGUGUGCUGCAAACUGGGGAAAGAGUAGAUGGGGGAAUAGACUCAGGCUUCAUGAGUCCUUGCCCUCAGGUUGUCAACGCUCCUGGAGCUGUGGUUCAGCCCUCGCCACCAUUAAAGUCAUCUGGGAGUUUAUAAAUGAUUUGGGGUAUGCAUUGAUGGUGCACAGCCAGAGUUGAGAACCACUGUUUCUCGGACUUUAUCUGAUCUAGAGCCUACGUCCCAGACUUGAACAUGCACUUGAACCACCGCAGGAUCUUGUUUGAAGGCAGAUUCCGAUUCGGUGGGUCUGGGCUCCCAGGAAUACUGCUGCUGAGAAUUGUAAAUCAGUAGGAUCAUGAAGGUGUGUAUAAAAUACUGGGAUCACAGAGGAGGAUGCAAUUAAUUUUUACCUGAGGUGAGAGGAUUAGGAAAGCCACAUAGAAGAGUGAUUAUCUUAGCUGGGCCUUGAAGGUUGAGUAGAAGUUUGCCAGCUGGACAAGGAGAAGGAAAUAAUAGCACAAGCAAACGUACAGACUCAGAAGAGCAUGGUUUUUCAGGGAACAGGUGGUCUGGCAAGAAUGUGGCAUCUGCAAAAGCAAGUCUGAGAGCCAGCUCCACUGCAGAGCCACGGUGGAACUGGAGUAAGUUCAAUGCUCUGCUAAGGAGCCCUCUUAAGCACUACUCUUUAAGUAUAGGAACACUACAGAAGGUGUCGAUGUAGGAUAAGAGAAGACCCAGGCAGUUCUUACAGCAGGAAUCAAGAUGAAGAAACCCAAACAGUUCCCCUGCCCCCACACCCUUUCUCACCACACUUUUGCCUCUAUGUAAGUUUGUGGCUUUUAACCAUGUUUGAAUGAGUCCUGUGUCUAACACACUUCAAUGAAAAGGGGAAGCCUCAGCUGCUGUUGGUAUGGUGGUCCUUCCCAGGGUUUCCAGCAGGAAACAAAAGAAGCUUCAUCUCUGCCAGUCAGAUCCUCCCUUUUCUGUACCUCAGAGUCUCAUCAUUCAGUGGACUGAACUAAGGAAAGUUGAGUCACUUCUCAGAUGAGAAGAUUUCAGAGGGGGAAGCCUCUAUACAGAUUGUGUUCUCGGUUAGAAAGAGGGUGUGACCCCAACUUGCCUUCCUGAUGAGGUUGCAUUCUGUUGCAGGAAACAUAAACCAAACUUACCCAUGCCUCCUUCACCAAAUCAAAAGCGAAAUGACUGAACAAAAAGCACACAUCCAUUCUUAUCCUUAAAGGAAUAGGGGAAGGGCGGGGGGAGCUGGAAACCUGGCAUUCUUCAUCCCAAAUUCCUUACUAAUAGGAGGAGAUCAUCUUUCACUUCCUUCCUUAAGAUGGGUUUUCCAGCCCUGCUGUCAGAAUCCAGCUGGGUGAAGCAGCAGUCACUGCAUGGGUGAUUUAUAAAGCUCCAUGGGGCCUUCUGUAAGAAUGCUGAUUUUAUAAGCACACCUAGAAGCUACUUAGAGACUGCUCCAUUGGAGACAUUAAUGUUCCUAUUUUUCUCUACUUUUCACAGGUCUGUAUUUGAGAAACUGGCCUUUCAUUCUUAUGACUUAGGGUAAAAUUGUCUUCAGAGACAGGUCUCGAACUCCUGGCCUGAAGUGAUCCUCCUGCCUUGACCUCCCAAAGCAUUGGGAUUACAGGUGUGAGCCACUGUACCCAGCCAAAAUAAACUGUUAAACAAUGGAAAUACUUUGUAGUUAAAGGGUAUUGGGACACAGAGGGAAUACCAGACAACCUGUGCAAUUCAUGCCCCCUGUCCAUUUGGAGCCAGCCUGGCUUCCAGGAGUGGAAGAAGUCAGAACCACAGGGUUUAAGCAGACACAGGUGCUUACUGAGACUUCACUGGACACCAAGUGCUGUGCUAGGUUAUGAGACUGCAGAAUGAUAACUGUUCUGAAGGAGGAGCUAGUGGAAAUGUGUAAAUGUGUAACUGUAAUAGAGUAUGACAAGAUCAUACUCGUUAAUGGAAGUAUGAACAGGAUGCUGUGAGAACACGGAGGCCCCUAUCCUAUUUAGUUUUGCCUGGGAAAGGUAGAGAAAGCUAAGACUAGUACAGGGAGGAGGUAACAUCUGAACUAGGUUUUCAUGCUUGAAUAGGAGCUCUUCUGACAGUAGGAGGAAGAGAAUAUGCAAAGGUACAGAAGAAUUGAACGAACAUGGCCUUAUAGAAAUAGCAGGUAGUCCAGGGAAGAGUCUGGCUAGAUUGUAAAGGACCAAAUAGCACACAAGGGAGUGUGACCCACCUGUAGACAGUGGAGUGCUGUCUUCUGUUACAUGGUGAGUUCUUGUUGUGAAGGUUUCUUAGCCUCAGUGUGCUUUGGUUUCAGAUACACAAACCAGAAAUCUCCACAAAGCACCUGCUGUGGGUCAGGAGCAGAGCCACCUGCUUUCUCAUGGCUUUCCAGCAACACCAGACAACCUGGGAUCAAAUUCUGGCUGUGCCACUUGCUAGCUGUGUGACACUGAGUCUGCUACUUAACUAUUCUGUGCCUCCAUUUUCUUAUCUCUGAAGUGGAGAUAAUAACAUACCACACAGUGUUGCUUUGUGGAUUAAAUGAAUUAAUAUAUGUAAAGCCCUUAAAAUAGUGCCUUAGCAUUAUGUAAUUGUUAGCUAACGUUAUCAUCUAAGGAAGUAUUAUGUAGAGGGAUGAGAACUAGCUUUGGAGUCCUAAGACCUAGGCUGGAGACCCAGUUCUGAAGUGUUGGGUUGACUUACUCUUUUCUUUUCCCUCCCUUCCUUUUUUUUCUUCCCUCCUUCUUUUGGGAGGGAGAUGUAGAAAGAGGUACAUGGAGAACAAGUUUGUCAAUCCAUCUGAACUUCAGUUGCCUUACCUGUAAGAUUCUUUCUCCCCAGGCAGCCAUGUCUGUGUUCUUGUCCCACAGAAUUAGAGCCCAUUGGUUGGGAACAAUACCACCACCAUCAGACAUUGUCAAAGUGGCCAUUGAAUGUCCAGAUGCUAAUCUCCGGCUCCUUGAAAUUGACCAGAAACGGCCCCUGGCAUCCAUUAUCAAGGAAGUUUGUGACGGGUGGUCAUUGCCAAACCCAGAAUAUUACAUCCUCCAUUACACGGAUGGUCCUCAGCUGUACAUCGCUGAACAGUCCCGAGCUACAUGCCAGCUGAUGGAGAGGACCCAGUCAUCCAACAUGGAGACCUGGCUGGAUGCCAUGAAGGAUAUGGCCAAGGUCUCUGCCGACGUGACUUUCAUUACUGAGUUCAUCAACAUGAAUGUCAUCGUGCUGAUGAGGCUCGUGGAAAGUAGAACCAAGCUCUUGUCCCACUACAGUGAGAUGCUGGCAUUCACCCUGACUGCCUUCCUAGAGCUCAUGGACCGUGACAUUGUCUCCUGGGACAUGGUUUCAAUCACCCUUAUUAAGCAGGCUGGGAAUGCUUCUCUUGCGCGUUUACCAUCACAACUGGACAAGGGAACCCAAAAAAGUCUAAAUGGGUUACCAGGAUUUUGCACAAAUUUCUCCCUGGCCCCAUUCUGUAACAUGGGUACCUCCUCAUGAAGAUCCCUGUCAAAUAGUCCUGUCAGCCAGACUGAACGAAAAUGAAAAGGAAGUCAUUUCUGCAUGUGUCACAGAGGCAUCCUUUGGUUCUAAAGGGAGCUGAGUUGGAUUCCACAAGCGCAUGGUCCUUGUAGCGUGUGAAUAGGAUUCAGUCACAGACGAGAAGGAAGGGUUCGGAGGAGACUGUCAUCGCCCUGUCCAGGCUAACCCUCCAGCUGCCCAGUAGAGAUGGGGUUUCACCAUAUUGACCAGGCUGGUCUUGAACUCCUGACCUUGUGAUUCACCCGACUCGGCCUCCCAAAGUGCUGGAACUACAGAUGUGAGCCACCGUGCCUGGACUGUAAUCUUUAAAGCUCAACAGAAAUGUGCAGAUGGAGCCGUGCGGUCCUACACUGAAGCCCUGCAGUCCUGACUUCUGAGUGGAGCUAGAGGAGAAUUAUAUUAAUGUGUUUGCACUACUUGCUCAAUUGUAAAGCAUAACAAAUAUAUUUAAGGCAUAUUUUUUAAAUGAGAAUAAAAUAGUUUAACAAUGUUUACACACCUAUUUUAAGUAUUACAUUCUCUAAUCUAUUUUUAUCCUCACAACCAUGGAAGCGCUCCACCAUCUCCAUUUCAGAAAGUAGACAGUAACUGAACAACACUAUCAUCUUUUAAAAAACAUUUAUUUCAUUAUGAAAGUUUAUGGUUUAUGUAAUUAAUACCUUUUUGUGGUCUGCAUUCAAUGGGUGUGGGCAUCUGCAAACUGUCGUGGGUCCACCGUUGUGAAAUCGCACACAGUGGUCUCACUGCCCUAAACAGCCAGGGCUCUCUGCCCAUCCAUCCUUUCCUCUCCCCAACCCCCGUCAACCACUGAUUAUUUUGCUAUCUAUGUAAUUUUCCCGUUUCCAAAAUGUCACAUAAUGCCCACAGCCAUGAAUGCGAGUUUCUGUUGCUCCACAUCCUCACCAGCAUUUGGUGUUUUUGGUCUUGUGGAUUUUGGCCAUUCUAAUAGGUAUGUAGUGGUAUCUUACUGUUGUCUUAAUUGGCAAUUCCUAAUAACAUAUUAUACAGAGCAUCUUUUCAUAUACUUAAUUUCCAUCUGCAUAUCUGUUCAGCUUUUGCCCAUUUUUAAUUGGGUUGUUUGUUUUCUUAUUGAGUUUUAAGAGUUCUUUGCAUAUUUCAGAUAUGAAUCCUUAGAUAUAUUUUGCAAAUAUUUUCUCACAGUCUCUGGUUUGUCUUUUUAUUCCCUUAACAGUAUCUUUCACAAAACUAAAGUUUUUUUAUGUUAAAGUUCAACUUCCCAAUAUUUUUCUUCGUGGAUAAUGCUUUUGGUGUUCUAUCUAAAAGAAUCACCAAAUCCGAGGUUAUCUAGAGUUUAUGUUAUC